rnacentral:rRNA from 1 species
AUUGAACGCUGGCGGCAGGCCUAACACAUGCAAGUCGAACGAGUGGCGGACGGGUGAGUAAUGUCUGGGAAACUGCCUGAUGGAGGGGGAUAACUACUGGAAACGGUAGCUAAUACCGCAUACCAUCGGAUGUGCCCAGAUGGGAUUAGCUAGUAGGUGGGGUAAAGGCUCGCCUAGGCGACGAUCCCUAGCUGGUCUGAGAGGAUGACAAGCAACGCUGGAACAGAGACAUGGUCCAGUCUCUUACGGGAGGCAGCAGUGGGGAAUAUUGCACACUUGGCGUAAGCCUGAUGCAGCCAUGCCGGGUUUAUGAAGAAGGCCUUCGGGUUGUAAAGUACUUUCCGCGUGUAGGCGUUACCCGCAGAAGAAGCACCGGCUAACUCCGUGCCCGCAGCCGCGGUAAUUC